UAGGAACUCACUCGAGCUGUCCAGUUACAUGAACAGGUUUAAGCAAGAGAGUUGAAGGAAAAGAAUGAAAAAUACAAAAAAGUUGUUGAUGAAAUGAAAAGACUGGAACAAGAACAAAAAGAUUUGUUAUGCCGCUUGAAGGAGAAUGUACUAAAUAAGCGCCAUCAAAAACACAAAGCUUAUGAAGCCUGCGAUCAAAAACGGUUGGUGUUACGAAGCAUGUGAGGUAUAGAGAACAUUAAAGUCGACCCCCUUUCUUCAUGCUGCAACUCUUAUGCUCGGCUGGUGCAUUACACUGAGACGCGAACGAAAAACAGAAGACCAUUUGGAACUACGCCACAAGUCAAUCCGAUUUUCAUCGUCACAGAGAAUACUGUGAGAACAGUGCGCACCCAUGCAAGUUAAAUAUAACAAGAACAUGGGAGAGGUUAGGUGUCCUGUACCUUAAUACAGCUUUCGGACGAUGGUUUUCGUGAUGUAAUUCCAAGGAAAAAACAUGUUAACCAAAAUUAAAAUACUUUUUGUCAUUAAAAAAUCCAAAAAUGUAGUUAGUUGCACGAUAUAACAGUAAUUUUA